AUUGAACGCUGGCGGCAGGCCUAACACAUGCAAGUCGGACGAGUGGCGGACGGGUGAGUAAUGUAUGGGAAACUGCCUGAUGGAGGGGGAUAACUACUGGAAACGGUAGCUAAUACCGCAUACCAUCGGAUGUACCCAUAUGGGAUUAGCUAGUAGGUGGGGUAACGGCUCACCUAGGCGACGAUCCCUAGCUGGUCUGUGAGGAUGACCAGCCACACUGGGACUGAGACACGGCCCAGACUCCUACGGGAGGCAGCAGUGGGGAAUAUUGCACAAUGGGCGCAAGCCUGAUGCAGCCAUGCCGCGUGUAUGAAGAAGGCCUUCGGGUUGUAAAGUACUUUCAGUGGGGAGGCGUUACCGGCAGAAGAAGCACCGGCUAACUCCGUGCCAGCAGCCGCGGUAAUUC
rnacentral:rRNA from 1 species